AAUCCAUGAUGUGGACAGAUAUUCAUCAGAUCCUUAAACCUCUUCCAGCAAGCCUGGAAGGUCUCCUCACCUUUCUGCAUGAAUUGACUGAUUUGCUCCUGUAGAU